UUUUUCUGAGACAGGGCCUUGCACCGUCGCCCAGGCUAGAGUGCAGCCAGACGCUCAUAGCUCUUAUCAGUAACUUCUUUACAACACUUCUGCAAUUUAGGAAGCACUCUCACAUUAUUUCAUUCACUCUCCCCAACAUUACCAAGAGUGAGGAAUUAGAUCUUUUUAUAGAUGAAGGAAUUGGGACUCCCUGAAGUCAACUGUCUCAUAGUUACGUUUUGUUCAUUCAUUCAUCAAAUAUUGAGUGCCUGAUGUGAGAUUUACUGAAAUUAGAUUUGAGAACAAUUUUCCUGAAUUCAAGUCAAGGGUUUAUUCCACUAUUCUCAAUUACUUUAUCACCAGGGUUAUAAACCCAAAGAAACUGAGUAACAGUGUGAUUUUGUUGAGGACCCACGCAACAUUAGUCUCAGAAAGGUUCCAAUGUCAUUUGUAAAAUUCAAGGUUACCAUCAGCAGAGGCAGUCAUUCCUCUCAGGGCUUGUUACCUAAUGCACUAACUUUCAUUGUAGGUAAUUCCAUUCAAGACACAUUUGAUGACUAUAUCUACAGGUUUUGAAGUUGUUCAUAUUGGGUUUCGACACUUACUAGCUGUGGGGCCUUAGAUCAAUUACUUAAACCUUUUUGAGUUUCAGUUUUAUCAUUUGUAAAACGGAUAUAAUCCUGAUGCCUUUGGACCAAGUGGUCAUGGAAAUGAAGAGAGAUAAGUAUUUAAAAGUCCAUGCUCAUAGUAGCUGUGGUUUCCAACUGCGUGAUGAAGUUUUAAAAUCUGCAUUCAAAUGAGAACAACUAUGUCGACGUAAAGUUACAAGCUAACUAUUCUUGGUAAGUACUGUUCUUUAUUCUGGAGAAUAUCACUUUACAGUUUGGUGUUAAAUGCUCUUUUAUAAAUUUAAGGUGCCAGUAGCUGUCUACUUGAACGGCAUGCUAAAUUUGGCAUGCCGUCGUCCCAGCGCUUUGGGAGGCCGAGGCGGGCGGAUCGCGAGGUCAGGAGAUCGAGACCAUCCUGGCUAACACAGUGAAACCCCGUCUCUACUAAAAAUAAUAAUAAUAAUAAAAAUUAGCCGGGCAUGGUGGCGGGCGCCUGUAGUCUCAGCUACUCGGGAGGCUGAGGCAGGAGAAUGGCGUGAACUCGGGAGGCAGACCUUGCAGUGAGCCGAGAUCACGCCACUGCAUUCCAGCCUGGGCGACAGAGCAAGACACCAUCUCAAAAAAAAAAAAAAAAAUUUGGCAUGCCAUGUCGACCUUCAUCCCCCAGUUCUUUCUCCCCAAAUUAAAAACACGAAUACGCACACACGCUCCUUAGUUCCUAAAGUUCAAGGGCACGCGCACACACCUACUUAUCUUUUAACAUUCAAGCUCGCACCAAACACAGAUCCACAAGGGUGGGAAGCGUGGUGGAGGUCACCUGGCAGCGC
rnacentral:lncRNA from 1 species